rnacentral:tRNA from 1 species
GGAGAUCCGAGUAGAGACAUAGCGAACUGCGCACGGAGAAGCCUCGAGGGAAUGCCGUAGGACCCGGGUUCGAUUCCCGGCAGCUCCACCA